AAUGUAGCUGAUGUGACUAUGUGCCACUCCAGAGCAUAGGCCCCCAGACUCCUGGCCAAUUUUUGCUAGGUUUCCUGGUAUCCUGUCACUGCAAUGAGAGCAAGCCUGGGAUAGCCCAUUGGAAAUGAGAAAAUACGUGGAGGAGAGCGCAGUUUUCCCCACCUGAGACCAUCUAAAAUAGCCAGCCCCAGUCAACCCACUUGUGGAAUACAGACUUUUGAGUGACCCAGCAAAAUCACCCAGCAACUUAUAGACUUGUGAGCAAAAGAUAAAUAUUUAUUAUUAUACAAAGUAUGAGAGAGACAGAAGGUAUGAGACACACCAAGCAUGUCCACAUGGACUAAAUUGGACCCAGCUCUAGUACAAACCAAGGAAAUAACCUAAAUAAUUUUUGAGCAAGAUUGAAACAAAUAUUACAAUAGUCACAAGGCUGAUUCUGAGGAGUGGUUGGUCAUUUCCUUCACUUCUUCUACUAGGACGGUCUGGUACCAGUGAGUGCUUGUGGCCCACCUCGAGCCUUGAGUUCAGAACCUGAGGAACUGAUGGCUGACUGAAACCUAGAGAAAUUUCUGCUGUAUAUCUGCUGAUGGGCUUGGACUGAAGGGAGAAAAAAACCGGAAAAGUCAAAAUAAUGGCACUACUCCUUAGCAAAACUAUCGCAUAGCUGUAGAUCAUAGGAGUGCCCAACCUAACUUAUGGAUAAAUUCUGCCACUGAAAAGUGAGAAUAUCUUCAUCAGGGGCACAGGUAGUAAAUGGAAAUGGAUUUAUAGAACUUCAGGAUGUCCAAUUCUUAGUCUUCUCCUGACCUAUGUGAACCAAUAGCUUUAGGAUCCCAACAGUUUUUAAGGCUCCCUUACUUGAUCUUCACAUGGCUGCCACACAUAAUGAAAGCCUGGAGGAGGGCUUCUUUUGGAGACCCAUCUAUUUAAUAUAGAAGUGAGGAUUCCUGUGUGGUUAUACACACCAUGAUCUGUAAGGUGUCCAUUUCACCUGGAUUAAUAGCAGAGUAUCUACCUUCCAAACCAUAGCAGAAGACAACUAAAGAAAGAUAAAAACAAAAUCCCCUUCUUCUACCCCUUGCCCAACUAAAUCAUUUUGUACUGACUCAAUUUUCUUUUCAUUUACAUUGGAUCAAAGGUUGCUUUGUGAAUUUGGAACACAACCAAAUUCAUUUUUAUUUGGCAAUACUCAAUAACUGGAAUGCAUAAAUCUCCCUAUGAAUGGAGGGAGCAUAGAAAACAUAUUUUUCUGAUUCAUUUUUGAAAUGGUCACAUUUUUCUGAAAAAAAAUUAUUAUAAGAAACAAGAAAUUCAAUAAAUGCAGUGAAUAGAUAUCUAAGUGAAGAAAAUCAAAUCAGUGAAACAGAAAGCAAACUUGAAGAAUUUUUAGAAAACAAAAAGGAAAAUGCGAGAGAGAUGAAAACAUAAGAGAAAAAAAUAAUAGCUAUGGAGGGCACUUAUCAGAGAUACAGUCAAUGGAUAAUUAGAAUAAGGAAAAUAAGUCAAGGGAAAAUAAACUUGCUGAUAAAACAGAGCAAAUUUAAUAUAAAUAAUAAGAAACCUUGAAGAAAAUUUUCCUGACCUAAAAAAGACUUCAAUGAAAAUAUUUAAAAUGAUCUAGGUAAAAUUAUUGAAGACCCACUCCUAGAGAUCAUACCAAAAUUUUAAACACUGGAGACAAAAAAAAAAAAAAAAUUCUAUAAGCAUUUAG